UACAGAGGGUGCGAGCGUUAAUCGGAAUUACUGGGCGUAAAGCGCGCGUAGGCGGCUUUUCAAGUCGAUUGUGAAAUCCCCGGGCUUAACCUGGGAACUGCAGUCGAGACUGUCUAGCUAGAGUAUGGGAGAGGGAAGUGGAAUUUCAGGUGUAGCGGUGAAAUGCGUAGAGAUGUGGAGGAAUACCAAUGGCGAAGGCAGCCCCCUGGGUUAACACUGACACUGAGAGACGAAAGCUAGGGGAGCGAAUGGG
rnacentral:rRNA from 1 species